GGGUCCGUAGCUCAGUUGGUUAGAGUAUCGCCUUGACAUGGCGGGGGUCGGCGAUUCGAGUUCGCCCGGACCCACCA
rnacentral:tRNA from 11 species